GGGUCCGUGGUGCAAUUGGUGACACAUUUGCUUCAUAAGCAGAUGGUCAUGGGUUCGAUCCCAACUCUGCCA
rnacentral:tRNA from 1 species